GCGGGGGUGCCCGAGCUAGGUCAAAGGGGUCGGGCUCAGGACCCGAUGGCAUAGGCCUGCGUGGGUUCGAAUCCCACCCCCCGCACCA
rnacentral:tRNA from 1 species